AUACGUAGGUGGCGAGCGUUAUCCGGAAUUACUGGGUGUAAAGGGUGUGUAGGCGGGAAGGCAAGUCGGAUGUGAAAAUUAUGGGCUCAACCCAUAAAGUGCGACCGAAACUGUUUUUCUUGAGGAUCGGAGAGGUAAUGAGAAUUCCCGGUGUAGCGGUGAAAGGCCAAGAGAUCGGGAGGAAUACCGGUGACGAAGGAGAAUUACUGGACGGUAACUGACGCUGAGACACGAAAGCGUGGGGAGCAAACAGGAUUAGAGACCCUGGUAGUCCACGCCGUAAACGAUGACGACUAACCUUCGGCGAUAGACCGCCGGUGGCCAAGCGAAAGCGAUAAGUCAUCCACCUGGGGAGUACGACCGCAAGGUUGAAACUCAAAUGAAUUGGCGGGG
rnacentral:rRNA from 1 species